AACGUUUUCUCUUUUUCUGGGUUUGGUGAGAGAGAAUUUGUAAAAGCCCUGGAAUGUUAAGUCAUGAGAAAAGGCCUAAGGUCUUUUAUCGAUAGACAACAAACGACCCAAAGAGAGAGAGAGAGUAAAGAAAAGAGAUGAUGAUGAUAAGGAAGAAAAUAGAUUCUCCGCAUGGUUUUUGGCUUUAAAGAUUAACCCGGUUAACCUUAGACUGACCAUCACCACCAUCAUCAUUAUUUUCCAUUGAUUAUGACCAUUGAUAUGGAUCUUUUUUCGUUUUCUCUCUCUCUCUCUCUCGUCAUGUAAUCUAUGUAGAUGUUUGACCGGUGGACUUGUUCAUCUUUUCAUUGUACAGGUGAAUUAAAGGGUGAAGGUUGUGGAGAGAAAAUUUUUGGCCAUCAUGGAGAAAUUAAGGCGAACAUAAUUUGUUCUAUUCUAUUCCAUAAUUUUUGUCUUCCAUCAUAAUCUUCAUCCAUGUAAUUUCUUUGUUUUCCUUUUUCUCUUCUGGUCUUCCAAGGAGAAGAUCUAGAUCUUUCUAUAUUCUAUCUUCUGGUUUUCUUGACACUUUCUCUUUCUUUCGUUUCCUUUGUCUGUUUUCUCUCUCAUUUGUAAUUAGAUGAUGUGCUUUUGUUCUAAGACUUGGAUCAUCUUUCAUCUUCUACUACCACAGGACAUUGAGAAUACAAAUUCUCGGUCACGGCCAUUGGUCGAAUUAUAACUGUGUGGACUCUUCAAACAAUUGGAAUAGCAACAAAA